rnacentral:tRNA from 1 species
UUAGGGAGACCUACCCAAAUCAGAAAUCGAAAGCCAAAAGCCAGAAGGCGAAAGCCGAAAGCUCAAAGGGAAUAGAGACUGAGAUGGUCUACUCUAGGUCGGUCGCAGAAGUUGUAAGGCUUUCAAACUAAUAAUGAGGUUCGUAUGGGCUAUUAGCUCAGGUGGUUAGAGCGCACCCCUGAUAAGGGUGAGGUCCCUGGUUCGAGUCCAGGAUGGCCCACCUGAAGCAAUGAAAAAUUCAAAAUGCAAAAUUCAAAACGGUUUAUUUAAUUUUGAAUUUUGAAUUUUUAAUUUUGAAUUGUGUGGGGGGGUUUAGCUCAGUUGGUAGAGCGCCUGCUUUGCAAGCAGGAUGUCAGCGGUUCGAGUCCGCUAACCUCCACAUGAAAAGAAGCAAGAAAAGCUUCAAGAAAAAGAGAAGAAAUCAGCAACUAACGCUUGUUAGACUGCUGAGGAAACUCAGCCAGAACCUUGAAAACUGCAUAGAAACGCGAUUAGAGCAGGCAGACACAAGUAUUGGAAAGAUAUGAAGUGUUUGCGGGAUUUGAACCAAUGUAAAAGU